rnacentral:rRNA from 1 species
AUUGAACGCUGGCGGCAUGCCUUACACAUGCAAGUCGAACGGCAGCACGGGAGCAAUCCUGGUGGCGAGUGGCGAACGGGUGAGUAAUAUAUCGGAACGUGCCCAGUGAUGGGGGAUAGCCCGGCGAAAGCCGGAUUAAUACCGCAUACGACCUACGGGUGAAAGCAGGGGAGUCGCAAGACCUUGCGUCAUUGGAGCGGCCGAUAUCAGAUUAGCUU